GCCGAAGUGGCGAAAUGGCAGACGCAGUAGACUCAAAAUCUACCGGUGGCAACACUGUGUCGGUUCGAGUCCGACCUUCGGCA
rnacentral:tRNA from 1 species